GGACUACCGGGGUAUCUAAUCCUGUUUGCUCCCCACGCUUUCGUGCCUCAGUGUCAGUUACAGUCCAGAAAGCCGCCUUCGCCACUGGUGUUCCUCCUAAUAUCUACGCAUUUCACCGCUACACUAGGAAUUCCGCUUUCCUCUCCUGCACUCAAGCCUCACAGUUCGCGGGGCGAACAAUGGUUAAGCCAUUGCCUUAAACCCCGCGCUUACAAAGCCACCUACGCACUCUUUACGCCCAAUAAUUCCGGAUAACGCUUGCCCCCUACGUAUUACCGCGGCUGCUGGCAC
rnacentral:rRNA from 1 species